AAGGAAUUUCUGUAGUUGAAUA
rnacentral:tRNA from 1 species